GACGAACGCUGGCGGCGUGCUUAACACAUGCAAGUCGAACGGAAAGGCCCUGCUUGCAGGGUCCUCGAGUGGCGAACGGGUGAGUAACUCGUGGGUGAUUUGCCCUGCACUUCGGGAUAAGCCUGGGCAACUGGGCCUAUUACCGGAUAGGAGCUAUUUUUAGCGUGAUGGUUGGAAAGUUUUUUCGGUGUUGGAUGAGCUGGCGGCCUAUCAGCUUGUUGGUGGGGUAAUGGCCUACCAAGGCGGCGACGCGUAGCCGGCCUGCGAGAGUGGGCGGCUGCAUUGGGUCUGAGGGGCGGCCGAGACUGCGACGAGUGGCAGCAGGGGGGAAGAUUGCACAAGGAGCGCAGGGCUGGUGCAGCGACGCCGCGUGGGGUAUGACCGCCUUCGGGUGGUAGACUCCUUGCGCUAGGAACGAAGCUUUUUGUGACGGUACCUAAAUAAGAAGCACCGGCUAACUACGUG
rnacentral:rRNA from 1 species